UUGCACUCAGGCCUCUUGACGGAGCUGAAGCCACACCCUUCUCAAUCAGAGAGGAGAAAUACCAGGGUCAACACUCACACAAGAUGGAUGUCCAAUACAAACAGCUGUGGAAACAUACACUGACAAGAGACAAUGCAUCAAGGUAGGAAUCUAAAUGUCAAAUAGGAGAGAAAAAAAUCAAUUCAAGAUUCUGAAUGCAAAUUCAAGUCAUCUUGGAAUGGAGAGUCAAUCGGAGUCUAACAGGAAAUGUAUGAAAUUAGUCAAAGAAGAAAGUGACUUAUUACCAAGCUACUGAUAACAGAAGUGGAUAAUUAUCUAGCGGAUGAAUUCAUUGCAAUUUUGUUUUAUCUAUAGAUCUCAAUGUUACACGAAGUGUUCAGUUUGAAAGGGGCUUGUAUUAUUCAACCUCUUCAGGAUAGGAACAUAGGAGCAGAUGGAGACCUUUCAUUCCCUUGAGCUCUGUCAAUCAGUUAGAUCAUGGCUGAUCUGUGUCUUAACUCCAUCCAUCGGUUCUAUAGCUCUUAAUGGCCUUGCUGAGCAAAAUUUUAGUUUAGGAAUUAUAAGUAACCUCCUAGCCUCAAUAAUUGUCUUUUUGGGGGGAAAAUGACAGCAGGUGAAAUGCCUCAGAUAUCCACACCCUCUUUGUAAAGAAUAAUUUCUUGAUAUCACUCCUGAAUGUUGUAUUCUAGUUCUAAAGUUAACGCUUUAAGAAUGACUUUUACUAAUCUCCUGAGGAUCAGCUCCCUUUCCAGUAUUGCCAGUAUCCAGAUUCCUGCCAUCUGUCUGAUUAUAUAGUUCAGAAUGGUGAAAGGUCUCACCACAGUGACUGCUCCCCAAAUGCAAACUGAAGUCUUCGUGCAUGAGAUGACCAAAGAUUCUAAAUAGAUGACUGAAAACUUCCAUGUCAAAUAAAUAAAACACAUUGUCUCUCAAUUGUCCUUGGAUGGUGAGAUGAAGGCUUAAUCAAGUUAUUUAUAAUUCUGGAGUGAAAAAGAUCCUGUGGUAUUCUGUUUUUUUUUAUAGAUACGAAAAGGUAAAACUUACCUAGAUUUUAAUUCAAGAGAUCAACACUAAUGUAUCAACAGCAAUGUUUGGUCAUAUUAAACCCUAGAAGUUUGAAUGAAUUUUAGACUCAAUUGCAUCCUCAUUCCUAAAGCACAUAAGGUGCUUUCUGAACAUUAUUUACCAACUGGGUUUGGGUUUAUGACUGUCCCUGAUAAGCAAUCCUUAUCUAAAAUGUGCAAA